rnacentral:rRNA from 1 species
GAUGAACGCUGGCGGCGUGCCUAAUACAUGCAAGUCGAGCGAACAGACGAGGAGCUUGCUCCUCUGACGUUAGCGGCGGAGGGGUGAGUAACACGUGGAUAACCUACCUAUAAGACUGGGAUAAUUUCGGGAAACCGGAGCUAAUACCGGAUAAUAUAUUGAACCGCAUGGUUCAAUAGUGAAAGACGGUUUUGCUGUCACUUAUAGAUGGAUCCGCGCCGCAUUAGCUAGUUGGUAAGGUAACGGCUUACCAAGGCAACGAUGCGUAGCCGACCUGAGAGGGUGAUCGGCAACACUGGAACUGAGACACGGUCCAGACUCCUACGGGAGGCAGCAGUAGGGAAUCUUCCGCAAGGGGCGAAAGCCUGACGGAGCAAAGCCGCGUGAGUGAUGAAGGUCUUCGGCUCGUAAAACUCUGUUAUUAGGGAAGAACAAAUGUGUAAGUAACUAUGCACGUCUGGACGGUACCUAAUCAGAAAGCCACGGCUAACUACGU